GACGAACGCUGGCGGCGUGCUUAACACAUGCAAGUCGAACGGAAAGGCCCUGCUUUUGUGGGGUGCUCGAGUGGCGAACGGGUGAGUAACACGUGAGUAACCUGCCCUUGACUUUGGGAUAACUUCAGGAAACUGGGGCUAAUACCGGAUAGGAGCUCCUGCUGCAUGGUGGGGGUUGGAAAGUUUCGGCGGUUGGGGAUGGACUCGCGGCUUAUCAGCUUGUUGGUGGGGUAGUGGCUUACCAAGGCUUUGACGGGUAGCCGGCCUGAGAGGGGGACCGGCCACAUUGGGACUGAGAUACGGCCCAGACUCCUACGGGAGGCAGCAGUGGGGAAUAUUGCACAGUGGGCGGAAGCCUGAUGCAGCAACGCCGCGUGCGGGAUGACGGCCUUCGGGUUGUAAACCGCUUUCGCCUGUGACGAAGCGUGAGUGACGGUAAUGGGUAAAGAAGCACCGGCUAACUACGUG
rnacentral:rRNA from 1 species